AAACCGUGAGGGCAGAGAAGGGGGCCCAAAGCGGACAAUAUCGUGCUACGGCGGAGCCGAUCCCGGGAUGUGACAAUUUGGUAUCAGAGCCACUCUGCCGUGUGGUACGAGUGUGCCGACGAGGACGUCGGGCCCUUAAGGGGGUGGAUUGUAAGAUCCCACAUCAACCAAACGGAGAGGGGGUGAUGUGCCUUAUAUGUGCACACCCGCAUCCAUCUAGCACGAG
rnacentral:lncRNA from 1 species